ACCAAGAGUUGUAAUGCCACCCUGAACAAGCCCGAUUCCAUCUGAUCUCAGAAGCUAAGCAGGGUCGGGCCUGGUUAGUACUUGAAUGAAAGACGACCUAGGAAGACCAUGUGCUGUCGGUG
ensembl:rRNA 5S_rRNA 5S ribosomal RNA